UACGGAGGGGGCUAGCGUUGUUCGGAAUUACUGGGCGUAAAGCGCACGUAGGCGGCUUUGCAAGUUUAGAGGUGAAAAGCCCGGGGCUCAACUCCGGAAUUGCCUUUAAAAACUGCAUCGCUAGAAUUGUGGAGAGGUAAGUGGAAUUCCGAGUGUAGAGGUGAAAUUCGUAGAUAUUCGGAAGAACACCAGUGGCGAAGGCGACUUACUGGACACAUAUUGACGCUGAGGUGCGAAAAGCGUGGGGAGCAAACAGG
rnacentral:rRNA from 1 species